AACAGAGGAUGAACAAACAGAACCUCCAAAAGCUGAGGUUUCUCCUUGGAACAGACUCAUCAAUAUGUACAAGCAACGUCGGAGGCUUCCUGCUUCAAAAGUGACUCACCAAGUGAUUCCACCACAACCGCUAAUUGAAGAUGAAGCCACACUGGAUCUAAUGAUAUAUGGAAUGGCAGCACCUAAGGCCCAUGUCACCUUAUCAAAUUCCUCUGGGGCUGACUGUGCCUAUGGGCUUCCUGAAACCGAGGCCAGAGAAAAUGCUGGUGAUUGUGAGGUAACAGAGAAAAAUGCAGGAUCAAAUGAUGAAGCAAGCCUGGAGCAUCCUAAGAAUGUGUACUGAAAAACUGCUGUUGGAGUCAUCUUGAGCCUGACAACUGUGUGUCCUUCUAUGCUUUGCUCACUGGAAGAUGAUCUACUGAGAGUUCUUAUUUGCAAUUUGUAAGGAAUUGUUCAAAUCCUUGACUUGUUUUUGUGGAUUCUUCUUUUCUUUCUUCUUUUAUCUUUCCUUUUCUGUCUUUGGAAUAAGCAGACAUGGGUUUUAAGAGUAUUUUUCACAUUGAUGGAUUGCUCCAUCUUCCCUUCCCCAAAUAAUACUCCAUCUUCCUUCCCCACUCAGCUCAUUAAAUAGAAUUUUACAGUGAAUUCAUAUCUUUUGUGUUCUUUGGUGUGUAGGUGGGCUUUUUUAACUUCACACAUUAAAAGAACAAGUAAUAGUUUGAUGUUUCAUUGAUCACAGAGGCAAAAUGCUCCACAUUUGUGGUACUGUAAUUCUUCACAUGUAGAAAUGAAGGUUAAAUUGAGAUGUUAUGCAGUGUCCCAUUUUUCUGAAGUACCUUCACAAUGUAAUAGGAAAGGAAAACCACUUUCUGCCUCCAAAAGAUUCAUUUGUUUGGCCCUCUGCUCC
rnacentral:lncRNA from 11 species